UGCACCUCCAGGUUCUCAUACCAGCCCUGUUUGCAGCCUGGAUCCUUACCACUACCCUCUUUGUCAUUAUACAGACGAGAAAUGGAGGUUCCAAGAAGCUAAGCCACCUGCCCAAGGUCACCCAGCUAGAGAUGCAAGCUGGGACUUGAAGUGCAGGGUCUGCUGACCUCAAAUCUCAAGCACAUUGUUCUCCUGGCACUAUUUGUUUUUCUACCUUGGGCCAUUCUUAUCACUUUCCACUUUGUACCAGAGUUAACGUUUGCCGUGUGUACAGCACCAAAUUUAUAAAGAAAGAAGGAAGGAGGGAAGGAUGCAGGAAGGAAGAGAAGCAAGGAGAGGUGGGGAGGGGAGGAAGGGAGGAGGAAGAAAGAGGAGGGGAGCAGAGGAGGCCUCUGGUCACACUCUGGGGUGGGAACGAAGGGCAGACCUCUGCCUGUGUGAGGCCCCCACACUGAGCGGACCCUGAAUACGAAGUCUGGCCAAGAGGCAGUAUCGUCUGGUCAGAUCACCGUGGCCAGGCUGACACCACAGUUCCCAGAUGAAGGCACCUGCCCGGCCAGACAAGAGGGGGAAAUGAAGGAGCAGUCAGGAGCACAGUUAACCAGGAGCCUGGAGAAUGCUACCCAUGGUAGCUGAGGAGCCUGCUGGGACUACAGGGCAGGAAGGAUGUGGGGGCCCUGGUUGUGUCCUCUUUGUCAUGUGGGUGGAGUCAAAGGUGACUGCUGAGGGUGGGGGCUGGGAUGAGAGUAUCUGGGGAGAGUGACCACUCAGCCAUGACCCGGCAGUGGUUACACUAACCGUCCUGGGCAGAGCUAGACGCUGCAGAGAGCCUGUGUCAUUUCCUAUGUCGCUGUUUUCCAGUUGUGCCUCAGUUUGACGAGUGGUAAAACAGGAAGCUCAGCCCUUCCAGGACCAGGGUGGCAUUGGCACUCAAGCAGGAGGAGGUGGGGUGGAGAAGAAACCUGUCCUCCAACCCCCAACUGAAGCCUGGGUAGGGCCCCUAUGGCAUCAGAACUGCUCCUCGAAAAAUGAUGACUCAUGGCCCAAUGGGAAUCAGUUUUUCUCUCACCCCAGAGGGUCACUUGCCAUGGAAAACAGGGACCCAUGACAGUAGACUGAAUCAGAAAUGCAAGCCUGAAAACAGAGCCAGCCUGCACUGCUAGAGGUCAGAGGGCAGGCUAACUCCUGUCUCUCUGCAGAAAGACUUGAGUCUCAGUUCCUCCCCUUUCCGGCCCAGGGAGUUCAGGAGAGCCAGAAAACCUAAGUAAGCCUCAGUAUCCUCACCUGAAAAAUGGGGAUAAUCAUGCCCAGAGACUCAGUGUAGGGCUGGUCACUGGGCCCUUCUCUGGGCUGCUGCAGUAGCUGCGGCAGCCUGGCAUCCUGUGCCAACAAACUGGGCUGAGGAAGCUGGCACUCAGCCCCUCGCUUGGCUCACACUCCUUUUUCCAAGUCUGGCCCACCAAAAGCAGGACAGGUACCCCCCCGAGCCUCUGUGUUCCUUCCAUAGGGGAGAGUCUCACUCCAAAAGGCCAUAAGAGCUGGAUUUGCAUGGCCAAGGAACUGAGCUCUCUCUGCCACCUCCUAAUGGAACCACAAUCUCCAAAAGUUCUGGUAAGUGACCCACACUCUAAGAUGAAAACUUCCUGGCAGUUCCUGUCUGCAGCACACCAUCUGGCAGGCACAGGUUCAGUACACUGCACCUCCUGUAAGUCUCGGGUAGUUUCAUUUCAACUGGAUGAUGGAGUGGUUAAGAGCAUAGCUAUGUCUGGCGUUGAACAGCCAAGGGUUUGAAUUCAAAGGCUGUGUGACCUUGGAAAAGUCACCUAACCUCUCUGGGCCUCAGUGUUGCCAUCUGGAAAAUGAUGGCUACCUCAUGCCAUCAGAUUGAUAAAUAAAUCACUCAGCCUGUGGAUGCUUAGUACAUAAAGAGCUCUCAGAUACUAAACAGUACCUUCCAGAAAGGCAGAGGCCUCUGGGACCUGGCCUAGUGCUGGGUACACAGUCCAAACAGGCUUUCUUUUUUUAAAAUGAUUCCAAGAGAAUAGCAGGCAUCAUUCUCAAAGCUUGACACAGGCUCUUGAGCUGUCUUCUCCCCAUUCAGAAUUCCAAUCAGAGGCCUGGCAUGGAGGCCCUUUUGGAAGAUCUCUAUGCUCAUCACCACUACCAGAAGCUCUUGCCUCAGCAGGGUUUAUGUACGGGGGUGGGGUGGGGGGCCCCAGGUUGGGUGGGUAGGGGAGAGGAGGGAAAGUGGGAGACAGCAGUUGGGGAGGAGAACCCAGGACAGGAAGCCGGGGAGCAGAUCUGGCCCUGUCACCUGGGGUGUGCCCUUGCAGGACUUUGGGCACCAAGUCAUCAACAGAACUACAGAGGGCAGACUGGCAGGUAAGCAGCAGACAGCGAGAUUCAGUGAUGUCAUGUUUUCCCAAAAUGACUCAGUGGCUUGCCCCUGGGCUAUGAAUGGUGAGCUGUGUGCUGUGGCCUCAGAGCCUCCCGUCUCCUUGCCCUCCAGGCUUGCCCAGCACCUCUCCUUCUGUUACCUCCUGCCUCCCUGUCCCAGGGAACCAUGGCUACGGCAUUCAUGCUCUGCUUCUCACUGUGACCCCAGCCCAGGGCACAUCCCCAUGCUGCUUCUGUCAUGUCCAAUCUCUACAUUGGGGGAAGACCUAAGUUCCAGACAGACCUGGGUUUUAUUACUGCCUCUGAGUCCUCUUGGCUGAGUGACCUUAGGUGGGUUGCUCUGCCUCUCUGAGCCUCAGUUUCCUCAUCUGUAAAAGAGAUGCAUUGCUAACAAUCUUGCUGGGUUGUGUGGGGCUUAGUGAGAAUGUCUGUAAAGUACUUGGCACAUAGUAGGUGCUUAGCAAAUGGAAAGUACGACAUUCAAGGGCCUUUACGAUCUGACCUCAAUUUACUUACUUACUCUUCUUGAUGCUCACUGUGUACAAGGCGCUGCUUUAAACACUUGUAUAGAAACACAUUUUAUUCUAUCAACCCCAUGUGAUGGGUACUAUUAGUAUCUCCAUUUUACAGAUAAGAAAAGUGAGGCACAGAGAGGUUAAGCACCUUGGUCACGGUCGCACAGUCAGUAAGUGGGGAGCAGUGUUUCCAUGCAGGCAGCCUGAUUCUAGAGCCUGCAUAUGUAACCACAACUCCUUCCUGCCUCAUCUUUCUCUCUGUGGAUCCUAUAAAUUACAGUUCUUUCUAAUUGGACUCCUCACCAUCUCUGCAUUUGAUCCAAACUUUCCCAUCCCCGUGCUUUCGCCUAGGUUCCCUCUUGCACUGGAAUAUCCACCUGCCCAUGAAGCCUUUCCCAAGUCCUUCCUCAUGUCCACCUUUGUGGGCUCAUCACAGUUGGAUCCAAGGGCCUCUGGUCCAGGCCAGCUGUCUCCUCCCACUCACCAUGACUGCUACAACCUCUGCCCAGGCACAGAUCACUCCCAGCAGGCAGCCAUAGGGAGGGCCGCUGACCUAGGCUGCCAGAAGGUGACAUCCAAGCUGAGGCCUGAGGAUGAAUGGGAGCCGGACACAAGAAAAGAAGGAAGCAGAGUGUUCUCAGCAGCUGGAAAGGCUACAGAGAGCAGGACAUGUGCAGAUGGGACAUGAGGACGAUUUGAAACUUGGAACACCUAGUACAAGGUGAGGGCUGGUGAAAGAAGAGGCUGGGGAAUCCAAUUCACUGGAAGAUCACAGGGCCUGCAGAAGCCAUGACACGUCCCUCGAAGAGCUUGAUGCUUACGCCAAGAGUGGGGUUUCUGUCUUGCUGGAAUGGCCAUCGGGGAGAUAGAGUCCCCAAUCUGCCAGUUCCUUCUUGUUAAUUUAAAUCCUUUCUGCUGCCAUUUACGCCACUUCCCGAGACCGGGUCAUUGCCAAGGGGGAGCAGCAAUCAGCAGAUGGCCUUGCAAAAGAGGCUGCUGCACCAUCAGAAACGCCCUGCCCAGGUCAGCCUGGGGAAGGCGAGGCUCUAACGUCCACUCGCAAUACCUACAGGGGCUGUGGCUUCGCCUGAAGCUUGCCUCCCCAGAACUUCCUGGCCCGAACUAGUGGUAUGCCCUGGCCACAGUUAUGCAAUAAAAAACAAAAAUAAAAAAGUUCUUGUGUCCCAUUUGGCAUCUUGGGCUGCAGCCACAGCAGGAAAGAUACACACACAGGUAGUAUCAUGGCACGGUUAAGAUUACUGACUCUGGAGCGGGGCUGCAGGGCUCAGACUUAGCUUUGCACUUACUAGCUGUGGGAAGCUGGCAACUGUUUUGCCUGUCUGGUUCUGUGUGCCCAUCUGUAAAAUAGUAAUAACAGCAAUACCUACCUCAGGAGCUUCCUGUAAGAACUCAAUGAGCACAGGCAGGAAAGGUGCUAAGUAUGAUACUGUGCAUGCUGGUUGUAAUCACCGUUCUUUCCUGUACCCUACCCCCAGGCACCUGCACCAGAUGCAAGAGGAUAAGGAAAAGUAAAAGAAAAAUAGCAUCUUUCAGAAUAAAAAUAAGACAGCGUGUCUGACCUUUGUGGUCAGGGUGUUUCGGUUCUAGGUUCCCUGCGAGGAGCACUACCCCUUCCUGACUCUGACUCACAGAUUCUAGGUUCUAAUCUCAGGCCUCUUCAGGCAUGUCUAUGUUUAACCCUGUAGCAACAGGUCUUCUCCAGAGAAGGGCCAUGGGCCACCCCGAAGCCCCGCCUGCAUGGUCAGAGUUGUGAAAUUCUUUGCUGAAAAUCAGUGCUGUCUCAGCCAAUGGGUGGCCCAGUUUGUUUUCAAAAUAUUUCCUCAGAUAGCAUUGCUUUGGCUCAGACACUUUAGCACUUUCCAGAAUCCUGCAGAUGGUAAGGCAGCUGGAGAAGAAGAGAGAAGAGGGAAGGAAGAGAGUAAGAGAGGCCCAGGGCUAAAUCUCAGGUAGCUGAGUGGACUUGCAGGCACAGGCACGAGCACUGCAUGUGUGAACAGACAUGCACGCACAGGGCGAAUGGAAAGCAGAUCAACCUGUAGAAGGGGCUUUAAACCAUCUAAGCUAUGGAGGCUUCUUGUGAAACAGAGCUUUUGUCUGAAGGUUAGCUCUCACUAGGUACAGAUGCAUUAUCUAAAGUCACAGAUAUUAAUUCAUUUACAGCCCUAUUAUGUAUGACCUAUUACCACCCCCCUCUUAUCGAUUAGGAAACUAAAGCUCAGAAAGGUUAAGUAACUUACCCAAGGUCACAUCGCUACUAAGCAGUACUGUGGGCAUUCUGUGUUCUUAAUCAUUACAUAAUUUGCCUUUCAGAAUAAGUGUGUCCCCAUGUUUGUAUAUCCGUGUGUGCGCAAGAAUGUGUGCCUACAAAUGUUUCUGUGUAAUGUGGCUGUGGGGUAUAUUUGAGUGUGUGUAUAUUUCAGCCCAUGCAAUGUAUAUGAUGACCUGUGAGUAUGUGGGUGGCUGCCUCUCUCCCAAGCUAUGGGGUUCACCCACCAAGUUCCCUCUAAGCAGCCUGACAGCAGCAAGCCAAAGGGGCUCCCCACCAGGAGGCAGCACCCAGAGCAUUCUGGCAGUGCCCGCUCCCCAGAUCUGAGAAGUUUCAGUUUGCUGACCCAGCUUGGCACAGCCACAUACAAUGAGAAGGCCUCUCAGCCACUCCCUGGGUCAGGGAGGGAGACCCUCAGCUGCCAACCCUGCCGGGGGACUGCCCCCACCCCAGAGCCCUUGUUCUUCCCUUCUCACAGGGUGCUGGGUUUUAGAGUGGGCCAACUGAAUUAACUGAAGUUAUUAAGUUAUCAUGAAUUUGCUUCUAACCCAAUAGACAUAGUGUUCAAGCUUCUUGAAACCACUGAUGUGAACUCACACCACCAGUGCCCUAAGCUGAUGAGGCCUAAGCCGAUAUGACUCUGGUCAAAAGCAAAGAACCUUGACAUUCUAGU